rnacentral:rRNA from 1 species
UACGGAGGGUGCAAGCAUUGAUCGGAAUUACUGGGCGUAAAGGGCGCGUAGGCGGCCAGACAAGUCGGAUGUGAAAUUCCGGGGCUCAACCCCGGAGCUGCAUUUGAAACUAUUUGGCUAGUGGCUAGUAAGGGAAAACAGAAUUCCACGUGUAGCGGUGAAAUGCGUAGAUAUGUGGAAGAAUACCGGUGGUGAAGACGGUUUUCUGUGCUAAGCCAGACGCUGAGGCGCGAAAGCUAGGGGAGCAAAC